rnacentral:tRNA from 2 species
UGGCCCGUUGGUCAAGUGGUUAAGACACCGCCCUUUCACGGCGGUAACAUGAGUUCAAAUCUCGUACGGGUCAU